GAUGAGAACGUAGUGAAAUGCGAUACGUAGUGUGAAUUGCAGAAUUCAGUGAAUCAUCGAAUCUUUGAACGCACAUUGCACCUCUCGGUAUUCCGGGAGGUAUGCCUGUUCGAGCGUCAUUUGUACCCUCAAGCUCUGCUUGGUGUUGGGUGUUUGUUCCGCCUCUGUGUGUGAACUCGCCUCAAAACAAUUGGCAGCCGGCGUACUUGUUUCGGAGCGCAGCACAUUUUGCGAUCCAGAUCAACGUACAGCGGCAUCCAAGAAGCCUUAUUUAACGCUCUUGACCUCGGAUCAGGUAGGGAUACCCGCUGAACUUAAGCAUAUCAAUAAGCGGAGGA
rnacentral:misc_RNA from 1 species